UGGGGGGAACCCUGAUCCAGCCAUGCCGCGUGGAGGAAGACUGCCCUCUGGGUUGUAAACUCCUUUUAUAUGGGAAGAACCGUACACAUUGAUGAGUGACCUGACGGUACCAUAGGAAUAAGCACCGGCUAACUCCGUGCCAGCAGCCGCGGUAAUAAGGAGGGUGCAAGAGUUAUCCGGAUUCACUGGGUUUAAAGGGUGCGUAGGCGGAUAUGUAAGUCAGUGGUGAAAUCAACGGGCUCAACUUGUUAACUGCCAAUGAUACUGUGUAUCUUAAAUAUGAGAGAGGUAGGCGGAAUCUUGCAUGUAGCGGUGAAAUGCUUAGAUAUGCUACGGAACGCCGAUUGCGAAGGCAG
rnacentral:rRNA from 1 species